rnacentral:rRNA from 1 species
UACGUAGGGGGCAAGCGUUGUCCGGAAUUAUUGGGCGUAAAGGGCUCGUAGGCGGUUUGUCGCGUCGGGAGUGAAAUCCACUGGCUUAACUGGUGGCUUGCUUUCGAUACGGGCAGACUGGAGGUAUGCAGGGGAGAACGGAAUUCCUGGUGUAGCGGUGAAAUGCGCAGAUAUCAGGAGGAACACCGGUGGCGAAGGCGGUUCUCUGGGCAUGUCCUGACGCUGAGGAGCGAAAGUGUGGGGAGCGAACAGG